rnacentral:rRNA from 1 species
CCUACGGGGGGCAGCAGUGAGGAAUAUUGGUCAAUGGGCGGAAGCCUGAACCAGCCAAGUAGCGUGCAGGAUGACGGCCCUACGGGUUGUAAACUGCUUUUAUACGGGAAUAACGCGCCUUACGUGUAGGGCUUUGUAUGUACCGUAUGAAUAAGGACCGGCUAAUUCCGUGCCAGCCGCCGCGGUAAUGAGGGAGGUCCGGGCGUUUUCCGGAUUUAUUGGGGUUAAAGGGGGCGUAGGCCGGAAGUCAAGCGUGCUGGGAAAUGUGCGGGCUCAACCCGGGCCUUGCCGCGGAAACUGGCGUGCUUGAGUGGGCGAGAAGCAGGCGGAAUGCGUGGUGUAGCGGUGAAAUGCUUAGAUAUGACGAAGAACCCCGAUUGCGAAGGCAGCUUGCUGGAGCGGAACUGACGCUGAUGCACGAAAGCGCGGGUAUCGAACAGGAUUAGAUACCCCGGUAGUC